rnacentral:rRNA from 1 species
GCGGCCUAUCAGCUUGUUGGUGGGGUAAUGGCCUACCAGGGCAACGACGGGUAGCUGGUCUGAGAGGAUGAUCAGCCACACUGGGACUGAGACACGGCCCAGACUCCUACGGGAGGCAGCAGUGGGGAAUCUUGCGCAAUGGGCGAAAGCCUGACGCAGCAACGCCGCGUGCGGGAUGAAGGCCUUCGGGUUGUAAACCGCUUUCAGCAGGAACGAAAAUGACGGUACCUGCAGAAGAAGGAGCGGCCAACUACGUGCCAGCAGCCGCGGUGACACGUAGGCUCCAAGCGUUGUCCGGAUUUAUUGGGCGUAAAGAGCUCGUAGGCGGUUUAGUAAGUCGGGUGUUAAAACUCUGGGCUCAACCCGGAGACGCCAUCCGAUACUACUAUGACUUGAGUUCAGGAGGGGAGACUGGAAUUCCU